rnacentral:rRNA from 1 species
CCUACGGGAGGCUGCAGUGAGGAAUAUUGGUCAAUGGCCGGAAGGCUGAACCAGCCAUGCCGCGUGAAGGUCAGUGCCCUUUGGGCGUUAAACUUCUUUUGUGCGGGAGCAAUAAUGGUCACGUGUGGCCAGACGAGAGUACCGUACGAAUAAGCAUCAGCUAACUCCGUGCAAGCAGCCGCGGUAAUACGGGGGAUGCAAGCGUUAUCCGGAUUUAUUGGGUUGAAAGGGUGCGUAGGCUGGGAGGUAAGUCAGCGGUGAAAUGCCGCCGGUCAACGGGGUGAAGUGCCAUUGAUACUGCCUUGCUGGAAUGCGGAUGCGGUGGGAGGAAUGUGCGGUGUAGCGGUGAAAUGCAUAGAUAUCACACAGAACACCGAUUGCGAAGGCAUCUCACGAAUCCGCGAUUGACGCUGAUGCACGAAAGCGUGGGUAGCAAACAGGAUUAGAUACCCCAGUAGUC